ACGCUGGCGGCGUGCCUAACACAUGCAAGUCGAACGGGGGUAUGAUUCUUCGGAGUUAUACCUAGUGGCGAACGGGUGAGUAACGCGUGAGCAACCUGCCUCUUUGAGGGGGAUAACAACCGGAAACGGUUGCUAAUACCGCAUAAGACCACACUGUCGCAUGGCAGAGGGGUCAAAGGAGCAAUCCGCAGAGAGAGGGGCUCGCGUCCCAUUAGGUAGACGGCGGGGUAAUAGCCCACCGUGCCGACGAUGGGUAGCCGAGCUGAGAGGCUGAUCGGCCACACUGGAACUGAGACACGGUCCAGACUCCUACGGGAGGCAGCAGUGGGGAAUAUUGGGCAAUGGGCCGAAAGCCUGACCCAGCAACGCCGCGUGAGGGAAGAAGGUCUUCGGAUUGUAAACCUCUGUCCUUGGUGACGAAGGAAGUGACGGUAGCCAAGGAGGAAGCCCCGGCUAACUACGUGCCAGCCGCGGC
rnacentral:rRNA from 1 species